GCAUUGGUGGUUCAGUGGUAGAAUUCUCGCCUUCCACGCGGGAGACCUGGGUCAGAUUCCUGGCCAUUGCA
rfam:Danio rerio chromosome 4, GRCz11 reference primary assembly.